UACAGAGGUCUCAAGCGUUGUUCGGAUUCAUUGGGCGUAAAGGGGGCGUAGGUGGCGGGGUAAGUCAGGUGUGAAAUCUCGAGGCUCAACCUCGAAACUGCACUUGAUACUGCCUUGCUCGAGUACUGGAGAGGAGAUUGGAAUUUACGGUGUAGCAGUGAAAUGCGUAGAUAUCGUAAGGAAGACCAGUGGCGAAGGCGAAUCUCUGGACAGUUACUGACACUGAGGCACGAAGGCCAGGGGAGCAAACGGG
rnacentral:rRNA from 1 species